rnacentral:rRNA from 1 species
ACGCUCGACACCUACGGGAGGUAGCAGUGGGGAAUAUUGCACAAUGGGGGAAACCCUGAUGCAGCGACGCCGCGUGAAGGAUGAAGUAUUUCGGUAUGUAAACUUCUAUCAGCAGGGAAGAAAAUGACGGUACCUGACUAAGAAGCCCCGGCUAACUACGUGCCGGCAGCCGCGGUAAUCUGAGCGGGCUGGCAAGGC